AACGAACGCUGGCGGCAUGCCUAACACAUGCAAGUCGAACGAGACCUUCGGGUCUAGUGGCGCACGGGUGCGUAACGCGUGGGAACCUGCCCUUAGGUUCGGAAUAACUCCCCGAAAGGGGUGCUAAUACCGGAUAAUGUCUUCGGACCAAAGAUUUAUCGCCUUUGGAUGGGCCCGCGUUGGAUUAGCUAGUUGGGAGGGUAAAAGCCUACCAAGGCGACGAUCCAUAGCUGGUCUGAGAGGAUGAUCAGCCACACUGGGACUGAGACACGGCCCAGACUCCUACGAGAGGCAGCAGUGGGGAAGAUAGGACAGUGGGCGAAAGCCUGAUCCAGCAAUGCCGCGAGAGUGAUGAAGGCCUUAGAGUUGUAAAGCUCUUUUACCCGGGAGGAUAAUGACAGUACCGGGAGAAUAAGCUCCGGCUAACUCCGU
rnacentral:rRNA from 1 species